rnacentral:snoRNA from 1 species
AAUCCGUGAUGUGGGCAGCACCUCUCCCAUGCAUCGUACAUGCUUUCAUCAUCAAACUGCACAAAAAAAGAUAUGUCAUUUCUAAGUUU